CUUUGGGCUUUCUGGCUGAUGUGAAGGAAGAAGCUGGUUUAUAUCUGGAACUUGGGAUAAUCAAGUUGGAGGUGACCUGGAUGAUUUGAAGGCAGAAAGAAGGACAAUAGUCCAUAUAUCUCUCUGACUGACUGUUUCAUGCUAGUGACUAAUUUGCCAUUUCUCUCAAUAUCCUCCAACCUAAGACUCACUGUAGACUAUAGAGAAACCUCCAACCCUCUUACCUCCAUUCUCCACCCUUGACCUGUUUUCCCCAAUAAGCCCUUACUUGAGAUAAAGACAAGAAAAGAGUUAUUACCUCUGAAACUUCGCAGCUCACCCUGAGUAACUUAGAAGGAGGAUGAAGAAGAAAGGAGAAAGGGAAACUGUAGGGAAGAAGAGAGGAGGAAGGGAGAUGGGAAGGGGAAGGAAGGGAGGUAUAAAAAAAGGAGGGUAGGCAAAAGAAAGAUAACUAACUACCUGAUCCAUUAGUUAUCUAGUAUACCAUCAAAAUAUACCCUCCAAAUACCAUCUAUUACAAUACUCUUUCCACUAUACAUCUAGUUUCCCCUUGAUUCAUUUCCAAUCACCUUAACCCACUCCCUUCUUUGUCAUGAGAUCAAGGAACAAACCAGGAGAUACUGCUCACCCAUAUCUUUGGGAAGGACCCAGAGUCCAUCUCCCCAGAAGAGACCUAAGCACAUGACCAAGUGUCACACAGAAAUGUGCCAAUCCAACCCGUCUCUAUCCCCACCAACAAUCUUACAAGAUUAUUGAGAUUUGAGGAGGGAGAAUUGAAGAGGGAUUUCUAUUCAUCCACCAUGAUUUCUAUUCUCCAAACUUUGUGUCAACUGUAAAUUUAAUAAAUAUGCCAUUUAUACCUCUAUCA
rnacentral:lncRNA from 1 species